rnacentral:rRNA from 1 species
UUUUUGAGAAUAAUUUAAGGUCUAACCUGCCCACUGAAACAUUAAAGGGCCGCAGUAUUUUGACUGUGCAAAGGUAGCAUAAUCAUUUGUCUUUUAAUUAAGGACUAGAAUGAAUGGUUGGAUGAAAUAUUAACUGUCUCAUUUUUAAAAAAAUAAAAAUUUAUUUUUUUAGUUAAAAAACUAAAAUAAAUUUAAAAGACGAGAAGACCCUAUAGAUCUUAAUAAUUAAUAUUUAUAUAAAAAUUAGUUUUAAAUAUAUUAUAUAAUUUAUUAUUAUUUUGUUGGGGUGACAAAAAAAUUUAAUUAACUUUUUUUAAAAUAAACCAAUAAUAUUUGAAUAUUUGAUCCAGUAAUAUUGAUAAUAAAAUUAAGUUACCUUAGGGAUAACAGCGUAAUUUUUUUAGAGAGUUCUUAUCGAAAAAAAAGAUUGCGACCUCGAUGUUGAAUUAAAGAUUAUUUUUAAAUGUAGCUGUUUAAAGUUUAGGUCUGUUCGACCUUUAAAUCUUU